rnacentral:rRNA from 1 species
GACGAACGCUGGCGGCGUGCUUAACACAUGCAAGUCGAACGAAGUGGCGAACGGGUGAGUAAUACGUGGGUAACCUGUCCUCCUGUUUGGGGUAAGCAUUGGAAACGGGGUCUAAUACCGAACAAAGGGUGAUGGGCUCGCGGCCGAUGGGCUGGUUGGUGGGGUGAAUGCCUACCAAGGCGGUGCCGGGUAGCCGGCCUGACAGGGUGAACGGUCACAUUGAGACGGAGAUGCGGCCUAGGGUCGUACGGGAGGGGGCAGUUGGGGCUAUUGCCCAAUGCGUGAAAGCCUGAUGCAGCGACGCCGAGUGGGGGAUGUAGGCUUUCGUGUUGUAAAACUCUUUCGCUAUCGAACGGGUACGUGCAGAAGAAGCGCCGGCUAACUACGUGCCAGCAGCCGCGGUAAUUC